ACCUUCUUGUUAAGCAGUGUGCUAAAAUUAUAACAAAAGCUAGUAUCAUGUCUUGAAUUUCGGAAUAAUGAACACACACACAACAAAAGUAGCCGCACCGAACUCUAAAGACUGGAUAACCUCUUUUUAAAUGUCAGUGUCUUAAUAUUUGGUGAACUAUGU
ensembl:snoRNA